UUGAACUUAUUUACAGGUUCUAAUGUGG
rnacentral:sRNA from 1 species